UCAGUGUUCAUCUUUUUCAUUUGUGAUUCAGUCCUAUUUAUUUUUCCAUCAGAAAUUACAGGCAUGAAUUUCAAAACAGUGGAAAAUAGGAUCUGGCUGCUGCCUGUUAAGCAAGCUAGGUACUUAUGGCUCUAUUAAAUAUACAGAUCAUAUGAUUUAGAUGCAACAGAAGGUUACUUUUUUGCAUAACUUGAAAGGUAAGUUUCAGUAAGAUAUUGAAGUAGUCAUCAAGCCUGAGGAAGAAAAGAUCAAGAAGAAACUGAAUUCAUAUCCAGUUCAAGUCUGCACCUGAAUGCUGUGGAAUUUAUAUUUGAUUUUUGGUAAAUCACAUAGGAUUUGAACCACAAAAGGAGUCCUGAAAACUACUACCUCAGCUAAGAAAUCCUGUUGAAUGUUCCUGACGUAUUGAGGCCUUUAUGAUUUUGUGUAAAAAUAUCUUAGCACUGCAAGGCCUAAUUUGGGGCCUGCCCAGGUAUUUUUCCAUGUUAGAACAGAUGACCAGCCCAGUACCAGAAGUUUCACAGGAAAGGACAGAGCAAGUUCUACUACAGGAAAAUCAGGCCACCACUCUUGGGCUCUUCCACCAGUAACCACUUUCAUUGUCAUAUGGAUGUGAAGUCAAUGGCAGAAUUCCAUUUGAGUCCAGAAGUGCAAGGAUUUUUAGUCUGAGCUCUGUUCUCUGUGAACAGGAGCAAAUUAUUCACAUGACUGGUUAAUACAUUUGUGGUAUUUAAAUGAUUUGGCCAUCCUACAUAUGCUGCUAAACAGGUUAUUGCAGUUGAAGAAUUAGAAACCACAAGCUAUAUCCCUGUGAAACUGAAGCCUCAGAAGACCCAAAAUAUCCCUGAUGUCUGAGUUUUAAAUGUUUAUGCAAACAUGUCCAGAUUUGGAGGAAAGGCUCAAGAACUACUUUUAGGGAAUGUAUGAGGCACUACAGACAAGUGUUUGCAAAGCAGAGGUAAAGAAGAUAAAUGAUGUUUAAUGUCUGUUGAGUAUUGGUAAGGAUCAUGGCUGAAAACAUCGUGACGAAACUAGUUCAGCCAGGAGGUGACACAUUCAGAGCAGGGGGAACUGCAAUCUACACAUCAACGAUGAGCUAACGAGCCACAGAUCAGUCCGGCUGACUGACCAGAGAUAGAGGAUGUGCUGGAGGGCACAUAGCCCCAUCUCCUGAUAGGUCCAGCUCGGCAAACAAAGGGGAAAAGUUGAAACCCUUUAACAUGGCCCGGGACUUGUAGAAAUUUGUACAUCUUUUGCAACCACCAGUUCCCCCUGGAUUUCUGCAUGACACAAAGGGGCAAGGCAGAGACCCCUCAACAUGGCUCAGGACUUGUCCAGACUUGUCCCUCUUUCACAAUCACCACUUCCCCCACCCCGAGACUUUUCUCUACUCUGGGAGCUAUAAAAAGCUCACCUAAAACAGCACGGUUUAGGAAAUACCAGCUCAGCCUCACGAAGGGAAUACCAGCCUCAUCGGAGGGCCUACCAGUCUCACCAAAGGGAAUACCAGUUCGGCCUCACCAAGAGAAUACCAAUACCCUGAGGAUGCUCACUCUGAACCAGACAUCAGAGGACACUGCGCUCCUGAUCCCAGCACCCUCGCCGUGAAACACUGAGGCCAUAUAUCAUCGUACAAGUCCUGUCAUCCACACUGUGGGGCUGUAAGAGACUGGAUCCCUCACUCUUUUCUUUCUUCCUUUCUCUCUGCUCUUUCCUUCUUUCCUUUUUUCUGUACCCCCAUUUCUUUGUUUCUCCUUCAGUAUAUAUAUUACUCUCUUUCUCUCUCCCUUAUACCUUAGUUUUCCUUCCCUCUUUACCACUCUCUUUCUCUCUUUCCCUUUUGAACAUAUAAGGAUAACAUCAUCUUUAAGCUCUGCUGUUGAUUUCUGGUUAAUUUUCAUAUUAUAGCUACUGAUUGUUGCCAAUAUAUUGCUCGUAGUAGGAUUUUUGCUCUUAAUGUGUUGAUAAGUUCUGUUAUACUUUUGCCAAGUCACCAUUCACUGUAACCAAUAUUCCAACAAGUAAUUUUAGUAACACUCACAAUUGAAUUGGACCCUGGAGGUGAUUGUCUGUCAUUCACUUCACAUAACCGUGCAGAACUAACCCAAAGUUAACUCACACCUGGUCUCAUCAGUUGAGUCAGGGUGCGUGUCACGUCUAGAGUUAACUCAUCCCUCAUCCCAUCUGUUGGGGUGGGACAAUGUCUCACUAGUAAUAGUUAUAAAAUAUUUUAACAAAUUCCGAAAGGCAAAAAUCGAAUGAGAAAGGAGCAAACCUGGUUUUGGACUUGCCAGGAAGCUGUAUGGAAAGUUAUACAAGUUAGAAUAACUGAGGACAUCCUGUUUUCUCCCAGCCUUCAAGGGGAUGCUUUUGGGCCCAUAUAUAUGCACUCAAAAAUAUUUCUAGAGUUCUUUUUUAGAAAUUUAAAUAAUAAUAAAAAAUUCUAUGGCUUUUAGAAGCAUAAGAUAGGCAAAUUAACAGAAGAUACAGAGAAGGCAGAGUUACUGAAUGCCUUCUUUGUCUCGGUCUACUCUGCCAGAGUCUGUCCUGAGAAGCCCUGUACCCCUGGGUCCCCAAAGGAAGCCAGGGCAAUGGAGGAGUUUGCCUUAGUUGAUGAGGACUGGGUUAGGGAGCAGUUAGACAAUCUGGACAUCCAUAAAUUCAUGGGUCUGGAUGGGAUGCACCCAGUGGCUGAGGUCAUUGCUAGACCACUCUCCAUCAUCUUUGUCAAGUUUUGGGAAACAGGAGAGGUAUCUGAGGACUGGAGGAAAGCAAAUGUCCCUCCAGUCUUCAAAAAGGGCAAGAAGGAGGACCCCGGUAACUGUAGACCGGUCAGCCUCACCUCCAACCCUGGGAAGGUGAUGGAACGACCUACCCUUGGUGUCAUCUCAAGGCAUAUCAAGGAGAAGAGGGUCAUUAGGGGCAGUCAACAUGGCUUCACCAAGGGGAAGUCAUGCUUCACCAACCUCAUAGCCUUUUAUGAGGACAUAACGAGAUGGAUAGAUGAUGGCAGAGCUGUGGAUGUGGUCUACCUUGACAUCAGUAAAGCAUUUGAAACAGUCUCCCACAGCAUUCUUACAGCUAAACUGAGGCAGUACAGUCUGGAGUCUGGACGAUUGGGUAGUGAGGUGUAUUGUGAAUUGGCUGAAGGAAAGAAGCCAGAGAGUCAAGGUCAAUGGGGCGGAGUCUAGUUGGAGGCCUGUAUCUAGUGGAGUGCCUCAAGGGUCAGUAGUGGGACAAGUGUUAUUCAAUAUAUUCAUCAAUGACUUGGAUGAGGGAAUAGAGUGUACUAUCAGCAAGUUUGCUGAUGACACCAAGGUCGGAGGAGUGGCUCACAUGCCAGAAGGCUGUGCUGCCAUCCAGUGAGACCUGGACAGGCUGGAGAGUUGGGUGGGGAAAAAAUUAAUGAAAUAUAACAAGAGAAAGUGUAGAGUCCUGCAUCUGGGCAGGAACAACCCCAGGUUCCAGUAUAAUGUGGGGAACAACAUAUUAGAGAGCUGUGUAGGGGAAAGGGACCUGGGGGUCCUGGUGGACAACAGGAUGACCAUGAGCCAGCACUGUGCCCUUGUGGCCAGGAAGACCAAUGACAUUCUGGGAUGUAUUAGAAGGGGUGCGAUUAGUAGGUCAAGAGAGGUUCUCCUUCCCCUCUACGCUGCCCUGGUGAGACCACAUCUGGAAUAUUGUGUCCAGUUCUGGGCCUCUCAGUUCAAGAAGGACAGGGAACUGCUGGAGAGAGUCCAGCGCAGGGCAACGAAGAUGAUUAAGGGAGUGGAACAUCUCCCUUAUGAGGAAAGGCUGAGGGAGCUGUGUGUCUUUAGCUUGGAGAAGAAGAGACUGAGGGGUGAUCUUAUGAAUGUUUACAAAUAUAUAAAGGGUGAGUGUCAUGAGAAUGGAGCCAGGCCCUUCUCUGUGACAAUCAACAGUAGGACAAGGGGUAAUGGGUUGAAACUGGAACACAAGAGGUUCCACUUAAAUUUGAGAAGAAACUUCUUCUCAGUGAGGGUAACAGAGCACUGGAACAGGCUGCCCAGGGAGGUUGUGGAGUCUUCCUCUCUAGAGACAUUCAAAACCCGCCUGGACACAUUCCUGUGUAGUCUCAUCUACGUGUUCUUGCUCCGGAAGGGGAAUUGGACUAGAUGAUCUUUUGAGGUCUCUUCUAAUCCCUUACAUACUGUGAUUCUGUGAUUCCGUAGACGGCGAUGAGGUGUCUUCUUAGUCUCAUCUUCUCCAGGCUGAAUAAACCAAGAUGCUCUGAAGCAGCUGGACACAAACAUUUCUUUUUGCAUGAGAGCUAUUUAGAUGCAGAAAUAAAUCCAUGUCCCUGUUAUGAAAGUUAUUUGUCAGAAAAAAUAUAAGAUGAUUUAUUAUUAUUAUUAUUAUUAUUAUUAUUAUUAUUAUUAUUAUUAUUAUUAUUAUUAUUAUUAUUUACUGCAGAGUUUGUAGGAAUGAAUGCAUUGUCAUGGUUCAAAUCUGGCAGAUGUAUGUCAUUGAUAUGAAUCCACACUACUGGUAAUGUAUUGUUGGAUUUGUAACAUCAAUUUUAUUACAUCUUUCAGUAUUACUUUAUUUUAACUAGUGCUUUUAUUUAUAAUGUAAAUUUAAUUUAGCUUUAAAAAAGUACUUAUUUGCUGUGAAAUUCCUCAAAAUAUCCAUAAAACCUUGCAGAGAAGUUUUUUUCCAUUCACAACUAUUACCACAUUCACUUUUGAAGGUCAAAGAUACUUUCAAUACUUUUACAGGCCAGAUGGUAAUGCUUUCACAUUUGUACCUCAGAAUUUCAUGCUGUGCCUCAUUCCCAUUGAAAUUACAACAAACUGGGCAUCUUGGCAUGAGUUCAUAGUGUGUCAGUAAGGCACAUAUUAGAGAACAGAGAUUGUUCUCUCUUCAGAUUAGUAAUAUUCCUAUUUGUUUUGGUGCCUGUGCCAAAGUACUGCGUUUCCCUUACAAAGAGAAGAUUCUAAGCAGCUGUCAUUUUGCCUUUUCAAACAAGGGAAUAACAGGAGAGAUAGUUUAGUAUGACUCUCUCAUUUUAUGUCAUACUCAAAACUUAGUUUCAAAGAUUUUUUUUUUACUCAAAUGUUUAGGUUUACACAUCUUUGAACCUAAUCCAAAUAAUUAAAUUAUGUCCCAACUUUUGGCAUUUCUGAGAUUUUUUCAUAUUCUUAUUCUUACGGUAGAAUUUAUAUUUCCAAGUUGUAUCAAAUUAAAAAAAAAAAAGCUAGCAUUUGAGUGGAUUUAAUUCAUUUACUUAUUUAUUUUGCAACUUUUUGGAUGCAUUUGCUAUGAUGCAAAGAUCUAAUACCAGUGGUAAUUUUAAUCUUUUCCAGCUUUCAGUCCUUGGAGGAUAACAAAGCCAGGAGUGCAAAUUUACUAUGGUAAAAAGCAUCUCAGAAAUACAGAGAUGAAAUGCUUUAAAAUUGGCAGCUGUUGAAAUGCAGUUCUUAAUUGAUCACUAACAGUCUCCUUUGACUGCAUUUUUGGUAUAUAUUUUAAACAGACAUUCAUUUUUAUUUAUUUUUUACAAGACAGAUGAGAAUCCCAUGAAACUGCAAGACAUUGAAAUAUCUGGUUUUAAUAAGUCACGUUUUACCAUUAGCAUUCCAUAUUUUAUGAGACACUUUUAUCAAGUUCUUUAAAAAUCUGUCUGAUUCUUCCAUUAUUCAACUGCUGAGGCUCUUCAUAAAUCAAUAGUUGCACCGAUGUUUCUUGAAAAUCAACAUGAUUCCAGGUAUGAUUCAGAACCAGCAUUGAUCUUUAUUGGUUCCAGGUGCCCUCUCUCCUAGCUGAGGCCACACUGUAAUUCCAAGUGAUUCCCACCAUGCUCAGUGACUAGAGGAAGGACACCUUGUUCAGCUAGGAAAGACAAACUAGGUGGCAUCCUUCUUUGCCAACCACCUUCAUUGUUCUUUUCAAAAUGCACAUUUACUGAACAAAAAACACAGUAAAUUCUGUCCACUCUGCAGGAACUUUUUAGAGAUUCCUAACUUUGGCUGUGUUGCCUCAAAGCAACAGCAGAGAAUGAUCAGGAGUGCAGAUCCCCAUACUUUCCUGGAUAGGAAAUCAAGGCUGAACUUGUUUUGUUUUUAGAAAAAUCCUGAAAGAGGCCCAGGUCAAACCACUGUCUAACAUGGUUUCCUUUUAUAAAUUGAAGGUCACUUUAAAAAACUCUGAAUUCUACUUCACCUGUGACUUAUUUGUAUUACAGUAGCCUUUUGCUCAUGCAUACAGGCGUUUACUUGUGUUUUGGUCUUUAUCGUGUUUACUGGAUAUUUAGAAAGUAAAUAUGAUGUACCUUUUAACAAAUACAGUUCCUAUCGGCAUCUUAUUGUAAAAGUUCUACCUGCAGGUUGGUAAGAUCUGAUACAGAAUUGCUAAUGUUAGGGGAGUUCCACCUUAUGCUGAUAUUUGGUAUUAUCUGUGCUAGGGUGGAUUUAUAGGACUUGUGCAAGCUAAAUAAAGUUCCAGGAGUCUGUAAAUACUGUAAAAGUUAGGGAAAACAUUUUCAGAUAUGCUUUCCAUAUUUUAACAUUUUAAACAUGUUUAUUUAUUGAAAAAAUGUGUGACCAUGUGUUCAAGCCAUACUUUAACUGCAUUUUGAGUUUCUACUAAGACUUAGGAACAUUGCAGAUUAAUAGAUGUGUUUUACUACUAAUGCUAGUUUAUCCAACUAUCAAACAAGCCCCAAAGAAUUAACUGGUAGGACCAUGAAUCCUGUGAAAAGUCUAUGCCUUUCUGUGCCUAAAUCCAAAAUUGGUGUCUGAUGCUGAGAAAAAUUUGAUUUAAAACUUAUUGAAUAGAUUAGAAAGUAACUCAAGUUGGAUCCAUCUAUAGUCGUAUCCAUUUUUAUGCAAAUUGUCUUCAGAGGGUUUUUUAUUUUUGGAUAAAAUGUAGCUGUAACAGGUUGCACAUUCGGGCACUGUGAAGCUAUGCUUUUAAUACUUUGAGUCCGAUGCCAAGGUAGUAUUAUAACAGACAACAUUCUAAUGGUUCACUACUGUGAUUAUCUGUCUAUCUAGGGCAACAACUGGCAUAUAAAACUUACUGAUGCUUUUAAUGUAAUGUGCUUAAAAUACGUAUAAAAGUAUACCAACAUUUCUCUAAAUGCUUCAUUCUGUGUAAUGAAAUUACACUUUGAAACAACAAAAUACACCACCAAACAGAAUUUUUACUUUCCCAAUAAGCCCUCAGUUAAAGGUCGAAAUUGAUUGAUACAUGUUGAAGGCCUAUUUUUUAUGUCAAUCAUUUUUUCUAAUAGAAGUGCUCAUUAUGAUGGCAGCAAUGGUAUAUGUACAAAUUUGUGUGUGCUUACACGUGCAAAUACAUUAAUUGCAAACUUUUCUAUUUAUUUUGUUCUUCCACAUCUGUUACUAUAUAAAUUUCUACUAUGAUAAUGAAAGAGAAGUCAUUGCCAAGUCAGCCUAGAUCUGCAACUGUAAAUUAGGCCCCUAAGGAAUCACAGAAUCACUGCUUUAAUUUUCAGAAUUUCUAUGGAAAGAUACAUAACAGCAUUCAUAGAUCAUAUCCUAGUGCUUUGCAAUGCCACAGUGAUCAACUAGAGAUAACCAUCCCAUGAAAUAUAAAAUCACUUCAUCUUGUUUGACUUCCAAGGUAUUUAAAACUACAGUUGAGAUAGAAAUUAAAAAAGAAGUAUUUGUGAUUAUGUUUAGGAUCAUGCUGUUUAGCCACCUGCUAACCAAUCUAUUCCUCUUUAGUUGAAAUAUUUUCUUCUCCAGUAAAGUAUGUGUUAAGCCUGAGGGUCUAUCCAUAUUUACCUUUGUUUGGUUAUAACUUUUCUAUGUGUUGCACUCAGCUGUGGGAAAGAGAAACUGUUUUACAAUGUACUUGGUCUGCCCUUGUGGUAACCUACUGUCUAUGUAACGGCCAUCUAGGGAGUAAGAACUACUCAUAUUUAUUUCAUAAUAAUAUUUAAUUCACACUCUUUGUUAAAUAUGAACAUUAAACAAACAAAAAACUUAACAAAGGCUACUCUCUUUUUCAUGUAAACAUUUAGUGUUCUUUUUAUAGACUUUGAGGUUAACAUAACCAGCCUGAGAAGUUUCAUACUUUCAUAGGCCAAGUGGUUUAGCAUGUCUUUAUUCAUAUCCUUCAAAUUAAAAAUAUUGCAUCAAUCCUGUCAGCAUAAAAUGCUUAACAUCUGCCUAUAAGAUAUGCAAUUAUCUAAUCACAAAUGUCUUGUGCAAAGAAUAGAAGCAAAAAAGCUUGUAAGCUAGCAUAAUGUUAUGUUACUUUUUUUUUUUUUCUUUAUUAUCAUCACAUAAACUUAGCUCUUUAAUUCUUGUAUUAAUAACUCUCUGUUUCUGAGAUAUUCAAACUUUUUUUUUCCCUCCUUAAUAUUAGGGGAGUAGCUCUUUCAUGGUGAAAUGCUUAAUAUUUCUUUCAUCACAGCAAGGAUCUAGUGAAUGGUUAAUAAAUAUUUUAAAACUCCAUCUGCUAGAAUAAACUAGCACAGGCAAAGCUUCCAUGUCCUCUGGAGGUAUUUAGCCCAACAUAUUCCACAGUAAGUCACUGUUCUAGGAAAGCAUAUCCUGGCUUUAUGUGGGAAUAAAAUGAGUUUUUAAGGCAAUCUGUUAUGAAAUACAUGCUUCUUUGGCAACACAGCCUUCAUAGAAAAGUCUUUUUCUUAAUAUCAUGAAUGAAGUAACAAAGAUGAAGCAAUUUCUUUUUUUUUGAUGUAAAAAACUAUCAUAUGUGUAGUUAGCAGAGCAGAUUAUGGUGGUAGGGUUAAUUCCAUCCAGGAGUGAAAUCAAAGGUUUUGAGAGAAUGUUAAGCAUGUGACGUUAAUAACAUGGCACAGCAGCUUCUUGAGAAAUCUCUUUUCAUGAUGUAGCUAGCUCUGACAACUGAUGGCUGUAUUUGUCACUUUGCAUUCUUGUUCAAGCAGUAUCUUUUAUUCUUUGGUUUGUUCCUUGGGGGAUCACUGAGGUGUGUGAAAUCUUGAGUGUACUUGGAAGGAUUAGGCUAUCAAAGGGGAAAGUUAUCACUGAUAUGAAUGUCAUUCUUCAUAAAAUAUAUAAAAUGUGAAAUGUAUCAGGUGGCCCAGAGCAGAAAGAAUCCACAGAGAAGCUUUUUCCAUCAGCAGAAGAUGGUUGUUUUGCUUUCCAGAAUGCCAAUGAGUGCAUCAGCAGGUGCUGCUGUAGCAGGUCUUCUUCAAAGGACCUUUAAAAACAGGGAAAUGAUGAGAAGAGCUUUUCUUCAUGGACUUUUAAAUGCCAUAAUAAAAAUGUGUUUGUCCAGUUUCACAUUAUUACAUUUCAUAUUUGGAUUGGAUGUAGAAAUAGUUAAGCAAAACUGCCAAUACUCUUAUAUUAAAAUCAUAGUUCUAUAAUCAGCUGAACUAAAUCUGAAGACAAGACUGACCAAGACAAAUGAUUUUUUGUGUGGGAAUAAGCAGUGCACUACAAGAUUCAAAUUCAGUUUUACAAGUUACAUGAGAAGAGUUUCAAAGCAAACUCCAGAGCUUCCACCAGCUGGCUUAUUCUGGAACCUUAUGGUAGUUGAUGAAAGUAGAUUGAUAAUGUUAUGAAAAUUGCACAAGUAUCACUAAAAAAAAUAAGCUGCCAAAAUAUCUUAUAUUGUGCAUAUUUUUUUUAAAGCAAUUCUAGCUAGCUCCUCCCCAGGGAAUUCUGAUAAGUACAUGGAGGAAGCAUAAUCUUAAUUUUUACUCUCACAGCAGUAUUUAUUUGUGAAAGAUUUUCAAAUAUCUUAAAUAAGACUCUGAGUCAGAAACCCUUGAACUGCCAUAAAAAAUCAGGAUUAAAAUAAAUCUUAACACUUUAGUGGUGUGUUUCUCUCAUCUCACAGUGCUCCUCUCUCCCACACUGUGGAGCAGAAUAAAAAUAUUUUAAUGCCACUGUCACCAAGAGAUCCCUGUAUAGUCAACAUUCUCGAGGGAACUGUUAGGCAUUGUUUAGAAUACUUUUUAAUGACUGAGAUUUCAUUACAGCAGUUUAACAUGCAUAAGAAUGUGCAGCCUAGGUUAUUGGAAAGUGUUUAUGGUCUCUUCAGUGUUUAGGUUUUUCUAACUUGAUGUUCUAUAUUCAAUAUAUCUGAAAUAAGUGAGGACAUCACGACUUUUAUGAAAAUAUCCAUAAAAAGCUAUUAUUUUAAUUUCAAAGUUGUAAUUAUUUCCUCUAAUGAAGAUGCAAUAAUUUUUACACUGAUUAAUUUUUUUCCAGUUUCCUUUAUAUGUAUUUUCUGCUUUCGGAUUAAGGUCCCACUGAGAGCAAAUUGCCCAAGAAGUCAAGACAUUAACAAAAGUCACCAUCUAAAGACAGUAGGGGACAGUGAAUGCUCUUUUUGAUAUAUUACCCAUACUCAUAGAAGUUCAAUCUUGUGAUUGAUCUGACUCCUUUGCAACAUACCAAGGAAGAUUAAAUACCUUGCACCUCCUAAAUAAAUAAAAAGGUAUAGAAAUUCAAUAUUUUCCCUAACAUUUGGUCAUUUGAGACAUCUGUGGAACAGGUGGUAGAAAAAUCUAUAUCUGUCUUAACCUACAGGGAAGAAGCAAAUUAAAUUGGAUUUAAAAGAUGUAUCCAAUAAACUAGUAUAGAAUGAUGUCAUAAGCUGGAGGCAAUGGGGAAUCAGUUCAAGGCACACAACUCCUGAAAGCCUCAAUGAUAAAGAAUGGGGGUAUCUAUUUCUUUGACAGAGUAUGUAAAGACUAGAGUGAACAAUUCAAUUUAAUAUGUGUAUUUAGAAAGCAUUUGGAGAGUCUCACACUUAUGCCAGAUGGAUUCAGAGAUUAUUGAAAGGAAAGCACUAACUUGAUAUGCCACAAAGAAAUUUUUUAAAUCACCUAAAUGCUUCUCAGUGGGCCUGGAAUUAGCUAAAGAAUCUCUUGCCAUUCAGUUUGGUUUUGUUGAAGUUAUUGAGAUAUUUUACAGUUAUUAAAGUGAUUGAACAGAUACAGCCAUAGUAUGAUUCAUUUAUAUAAAUCUAGUUAACCUAGGAUGUUUAUUUCCUUUCUGGUGUCACCAGGAGGAAAUGUCUAUGCUAGUGAUUUCGGUCAAGUCAGGGUGUUGAAAAGCAUGAUUUCCAUUCUGCUGAAAGGUGCAUGGGUAAAGUCACACUGGGCAAACUUACUAUUUUGUCACUACAGGUAUUGAAUGAGUUCGGAGGCUGAAGUACAUGUGGUAUUUUUUCACUUUCUCAAAACAAAGUUUAGCAUAUAGAGUAUACUUCAAGCAGCAACAUGAAUUUUUCUGAUGCAAUAUGCUAGUAAAAUGCUGUUCAUGUAUAUGAGGUACUUAUUAGGACUGUCACACAGAUACGGCUGCAAUUGCACUAGAGUGGUUGUACUGCACUUUUUGUGUAGGAUGGCCAGUGCAGCUGCUAAUAUCUUUAUAGAUGUAGCUAUAAAUUCACAGGCUGAUUAUAAGCUGUUCUCCACUGCCUUCUCUAUUCAGCUUUUGUUCAAAUUUGAGUACAAAUGCAAUCUCUAGAUAAGUUUUUGUUUUAGUGAGAUGUUUUAGUAUGUUCCUCUUAGAUCAAAAGACAUGGAUUUGUGACUUGAUAUUAUUAAGAUCAGACAGCUUUUAAAAUGAAUCGUAAUUAUUUUUUGUUUGGGCCAUAAAAUUCUUUGUACUUCCAUAGUUUUCAGAUAUCAAAAAUUCAGUGCAUGGGUUAUAUGGUACUGUCUGUUAACAGUGAUAUUUCACAAUAUACACAAAUUUAGAAAUCCUUUUUAGUAGUUGGAUGAGCCAGCUAACUUUUUUUUUUUAAUACACUUUCUGAAGCUCACAUCAAGGGAUUGUACAUCUGAGGAAUUUAUCAGUUACAUGCAAAAGUGAAAGCUCUUCUCACACUUUAAUUAACCAAGUAUGAAUACAAAGUUUUAGACAUUAGAUUUGUGAUGUUCUUGUUUUCCAUACACAGUUUAUAAAAUUUAACUGCAACCCUUCUCCAGGCCAAAGUCUGUCUCAGUAGUUCAUUUUCUUGAAUGGCAACAGGAAAUGCCAAGAAAAAACACAGAAGAAACAGUUAAUACAAGGACUACAUAUGUCUAGCAAUCAGUAGUUUAUCAAAAGAUUCCUGAGCUAUACAUUUCAUAUGAGCUAUUAUUGUGAAUAUUAAUUUUUUAUCUGUUUUUUUUUGUCUUUACUUAAUCCCUUUCUGAUAUUUUUUUUGUCUUGCUAGGUUUCACAAAAAAUACAUGGAAAGAUAUUAACAGAGUUAAUUGAUCUCUUUUCACUGUGAAAAUUAUCCAUUUAUUCCAGUCUUCUGCUUUCUAUAUUUUAAAUCAGUAUUCAUUUAGAAGUUGACUUUCUUUAGUAUCUUACAACACUUUAAUUGCUUUAUUUUGUCUUGGUGAGGUAUUUCAUCAAAAUCUUUCAGAAGACCAAGCAUGCUAUGUCAACUCCAUAACCCAGACCAAAAUACUUGUCGGAACACUGAAAUGCACUGUGAAGUGUCACAUCCUUACUUACCUUUCUCUAGUAUGCUAGAACUCUCUUGGUUAUCUAGGAUUUCUGUACUAACUGUUAUAAUUCCUAUCAGAGAAGUUGGUGUGAAAUUUAGCUUUUCAUACCUGCACUUGCUAGCUUCACCUCUGAAACCAUGCUUAGAUACCUGUGCAGUAUUUGCCAUCUUUCACUCCUCUGCCACUGAGUUUGCUUCACACAUAGGAAUUGAUAUUUAACCAGGUGUUACGACCAAGUGACAAACAUCAAAUUGCUGCAGAACUGUCUGAUCCUAUUGAUUGACUGCAGUUCAAUGUAUUGAGUUUUGCCUUGUGUUUUGUAUUGGUUUUAAUUGUUUGUAAAUCUCUAAGCCUUUUAUCUGACAGUGGAUCCUUAUCCAGGUUUGGUAUGAGAACUGUCUUACCACCACUAGGAAUGCCAAUACCAAUACAUAUAAUUAGUUCAGCCUUAUUGCAAUAGCCUUAAUCUUGCUGAUUUGUCCUUUUACCUCUUCGUGAUCUUUAUGAUCAGUUUUCCUGGGUUUCUGUUUUAUAGGUUCCCAUAUGGAAGACUUUUAUUAUUAAAGACAUAAAAGCAGGUAAAAUACUCCUUAAUCUGUUGGCCUAUCCUCUUGUGAUGAUAUGUAUAAAUUGUUAGAGAGUAAGUUGUUAACUCUUUUCCUUUUGUAUAUUUCCUUGAAUAUAUCUUUCUGAUAUCUAUAAGUGUAACCUUCAACAUUUUUUUUUUUCCUGGGGAAUGGAAGAAGGGAAAGAAGUGAAGUGGUAAAUGGGAAGCAUGAGUCAGUAUCUGCAUCUACAUUCGACAUCUUUAAAUGAUCUUCAUGUCAUCUGCAGGCAUUUUACUAUUUAACUGCUCAUUUUUUUUUAAUUCAUUUCUGAGUUACUUUUUUUGUGUAUUUUCUCUUUUUAAUUGCUAAGGACUGAGUGACUGAGUGUUUUCUGAACAUUGUCAUUUCACAGAGCAAGCAAACAAGUCUCCAUGUAGUUCCUGAUGACACCUUUCAUGUCUGUGUUCUUAAUAAGUAGAUUCUGGUAGUGUCUGUGUCUCAUCUUAUUGAGUGGUACCCUUGUCUUCACAGGAUUAUGCCUGGAGCAGGAGUCUAUAGGAUAUAUCUAUAUUUUGAUACCAAAACCUGUUUUACCUUUUUAGAUCUUCUGUUAGCCUCAGUCGGACUGGUAUUAACUUUAGUGUCAAUGUUGAAUAUUUCAAAAUUCAUAUCCAUAAUAUUUAAUAUCUAGGACAUAUUGUACUAUUUUGGUUUCAAAGGUCAUGCAGUUCACUCUGGUGUCCCCGAUAAAUUUGAAUAAGCUCUGUAUAAAGGACAGAGGGAUACUUUACUGACAACAUUUGAAUAUAAUUUGAUUUCUAAACAUAUAGGUACGGAUUAAAUAUUCUCAGAAAAAUAAAUAAAUUAUCAGCUGCUGGAUGUGACUAUGUGUGAAGUGUUAUCCUGUGAUAAACACAAAAUAAAAUGGGGUUAUUGAACCAAUAUCCAUUGGUCACAGCUGGACUGUGCUAGAGUGCACACAAGCUCAAUACAGUUGUUAGAGAGAUAGACAGGGUUAAAACUACAGUGACAUUGCAAUGUUUGAUCAUAUGCUCACAAAAGAGCUAGAGACAUUCUAAAGCCCCGAAGCAGCCAAUUUACAACUGCUAUGAUUAUGGCUGCUUUUUAAAACAACUUUAAUUGGCAAUGGGUUCCACAAUUUAAUUACAAUAUAAAAAAGUAUACUUUUAUCAGUGGACUAUUUGUCAUCUUGUCAUACAGUUGAAUAUUUAUUUGUCUUAGGUAGAGGAAACACAAACUCUUGUUCUAAAUUAUUUUACCCUUCCUUAUUCCAUCUAUAUUUACUAAGUCACCUCUUUCAUCCUUUUCUAUACUGUAAUUAAUCCCUGAAUUUUUCAAUCAUGAUUUUUCUCAGAUCCUUGACCAUUUCUAUCACUUUUCACUGAAAGUUCUGUAACGUUUUGCUUCCUAUAGGGCUGUAUAAACACUGUAUCUCAAGAAACUACUGCAAGUUAAAUAAGGGAAAGAUAUUCUCAUCUGAGGGGGAAGCCGCAAUUAAAAAAAAAAAAAAAAAGAAAGAAACACAAGCAGACAAAGGUUCAGGUACAAAAAUAUCAAACCCUGUGUGAUAUCUGCCAGAUAUGACUUUUGUGGGAUGUAGUCUAGAUGUCUUAGUCAAACCUCCUUUGCAGGGAGCCUGUCUCUUUCCAGUGACUACAUAAAUUCAUAGAGGAGGAAACUCACAACAUUGAAUUUAAGUCCUAAAAUCAGAUGACCCGAAUUUCUCUUCCCAGAGAAACUAGUAAAUGUUUUUUUUAAGGUAUUCAAGUCAGUAGUUGAAUACCUCUAAAACUCUAGCUUUGAUUUGCUUAAGAUUAAAUAGGACACCUGAAGCCAAUUAGGAAAUUGAAUCCAGUUUGUCUUUGUUCAAAACUAGGACUGCAAUAACUAUUCAAUUUCUCCGUCCCAUAAAAUAUGUAAAUUCAGUGUUUCCUAUGCUGCCUUUCAUUUUUGCUGUAUUAUUUAAUUAUGUAGAGGGAUAUAUAAACAGUGGCUUUUCAGAAAUAGUCCUUUUAUUCACACAAUUACAGAUAAAUAAUGCUCUGAGUCUAUUUGUACUAAUGUCCUAUUCAUUGAAAAGAUUUUAAAAAUCUGGGGGUUUUUUUGACUUUUUUUUUUUUUCCCUCUGUGCAUCCAACUUCUCCUUCUUAUGUAAUGUUUUUCAUUGUGGGACCCCCACUUCUGUGAAAUCUCUGUAAAUCACCUUUUUUAUAAAGAAUAAUUUCCACAAAGGUGGGAAAAUAAACAAAAGCAUUUGUACAUAUCUUAAUAUUCAUAAAAGUCUAGUUUGCUUUUCUCCCCAAAUAUAUAUUUCGCGUCUAAUUAAAGUUGCCAUGUCCCCCUAAGCUAUUAAAUUCCUUAGUCUCUUUUUAGUCCUGAUGUGCCAUUUCAUUGACAUUUUGGAAUUAGUUCAGAGAUCACAACUGCCAAAUCCCUUUGAUCACACAGAGCUGGCCCUCCUGCUACAGUUGCUGCUCAGAGCAUUCAUAGCUACAGCUGCUCGAAAUGAGAUCAGCCAGCUUACUCUCAGGGCUCUCUGCAAGCUUGCUUCUGUAGCUGCUGUGCUUCCACCUGCUCUUCCCUGGGUAAAGCAUUCUCAUUGCAUGGGUACACAAGGACCAAUACAGUACCAAAUAAGGUGCCCUGACUCUUGCCUUCAGACCUGGUGCAACUCCAGUGACCAAUUCAGCAUCCAGUCAGCAGCAUCAUAUAACUGUCAAUGUCUGAGUUUCCUUUUGAUCUGGGUGCUGAGCAUAGGAUUAAUCUGUUCCAUUACUGAUUUUCUGUUAUAUAUUUAGUAAAAAGAUACCGUUUUGUGUCCAUUCUACUGCUUUUUUUUUUUCUAACAUAAGAACCUUUUCUACUGACUAUUACUUAUUAAUUACUUAUAUGU